AGAAAGGCUGCUGGGCAGCUAGCCAUUUCAUCUGCCGUUUCCAUCCACCUGCCAAACCCCUCUCUUCUGCCUGUGCAAAGAAAAUGUGUGAAAAUGUUCUACUGACAUAAAUCAGUAAUAACCCUGUACAACCUUAUUUUUUAAUCCCCCCUCCUCUUUUUUUUUUUUUUUUUUUUUUUUUUUUUUUUUUUUUUUUCAAAUCUGAGGAUAAAAGGCCCAAAAAGAGCCAAUCCUAAAAUACCAUUUGUAGUUGGCAGCUGCAGUGAGCUCUGUGGGGAAGUGGAGAAUGGACCUGGACUGUAGGAACAACAGAAUAGCGGGCUACAUGCUUGACAAAUGUGAUUCAUGCAUAUGCUGUUGUCUCUUUGAAUAGAUCCCAUGAGUUUGUCAAGACUGAAUGAAUCCUCAUUCAUCAUGAAUGAAAGCUGGUACAGAAAAUUGGACACAUUCACCAGAGUAAUUGCAUCCAUUUGCAGUUCAACGUCCGGUGGUUUCGUUAUAGUGAGAGAAUUGAGAUAUGGUGGCAGUGUCUGACUUUUCAAUGCAAAGCUGCCUGAGAUUCAAGUGUGAUUCAUUCAUUUCAUUUCUCUUUUUGGGCUAAACAGAAGUUUUGCAGUAAAGAUAUUUGUUUUCCCAGCUACUGGCAUCUAGACUUGAUAACAUUUUCUUAAUGCCUUUGUAUUAAAUUUUUUCCUGUACAUACAUGGUGUACUUAUAUUUGCCCUGCAAAACUGUGUAGAUGAUUCUCCUGUACUGGAUUAUUAUUAUAGGCUAAGAAAUAUAUUGAACAUAAUAAUGAUCAAGAAUAUGUAUAGUAAACGUGGUGGUCAAAGUAAUUUAUAGACCUCUGUCAAAUGUUCAUUCAUUUGUUUUUGCUCGUUUUAUUGAAUUGAUUUAUGAAAAUAUUCCCAUGUUAUCCGACUGAUCUUAGGUUUAGAAAUGAUUUAUUGACAAAGAUGACAAAAACAUGAAUCAUAAAGAAAAUCCAUUUUCAUACUUUAUACUAAUGCAGUGCAAGAGUGGAUUCUACCACAUUGUGUAAAUAUUUCAAGGAAAAAGAUAUUAAUGUUAUAGAUUUAUACCAUCAGAUAUAGAUAUUCAAGUAACUCUGAUAGUUGUAGAUCACAUGUUUUGCUGUUGGGAAAUUUGUUACUGAAAAAUUCACAAGAUCAUACUUUUCAGUAAUAUCUGCUGAAGUCAAGGGCAGAGAGUGCACAAGUUUUCAAGCAGCUGAAUAACUUGAAAUUUCCUGAGCAAAUAAAACUGUGCCUUUUUGACCUAGAGCUCUUGUC
rnacentral:lncRNA from 1 species